rnacentral:rRNA from 1 species
UACGGAGGGUGCGAGCGUUGUCCGGAAUCACUGGGCGUAAAGGGCGCGUAGGUGGCCCGUUAAGUGGCUGGUGAAAUCCCGCGGCUCAACUGCGGGGCUGCCGGUCAGACUGGCGAGCUAGAGCACGGUAGGGGCAGAUGGAAUCCCCGGUGUAGCGGUGGAAUGCGUAGAGAUCGGGAAGAAUACCAGUGGCGAAGGCGUUCUGCUGGGCCGUUGCUGACACUGAGGCGCGACAGCGUGGGGAGCAAACCGG